UACAGAGGGGCAAGCGUUUGUUCGGAAUUACGUGGGCGUAAAGGGCGCGUAGGCGGCCCGCUAAGUCGAACGUGAAAUCCCUGGGCUCAACCCAGGAACUGCGGUCCGAUACUGGCAGGCUUGAAUCCGGGAGAGGGAUGUGGGAAUUCCGAAGGUGUAGCGGUGAAAUGCGUAGAUAUCUGGAGGAACACCGGUGGCGAAGGCGGCAUCCUGGACCGGUAGUUGACGCUGAUGCGCGAAAGCCAGGGGAGCAAACGGGG
rnacentral:rRNA from 1 species